rnacentral:misc_RNA from 1 species
UAGAGUUGUAAAACUCCCAACCCAUGUGAACAUACCUCUGUUGCCUCGGUGGCCUACCCGGCGGCUAUUUACUUAGCUACCCUGUAGUCCGCCGAAGGAAUACUAAACUCUAAAUCCUUUAUGAAUCGUGUCCUAUGUCUAAAUCAUGAUUAAAAAUCAAAACA